CAUAUUGCGUCUUGCGCGUUCGACUAGUUUUUAUUAAAAAUUAUAGCAUUUUCCGGUAGAAGAAAAUUUAUGAAUUUCUUCUUUUAUACGGUGUUAUUUUUUGGAUCCAAAAUAUUUGCUGCGAUUGUGAUGUAUAAAUAUGCACAACGUAGGCCAUUGCGCGUGUCGUCUAUGGUGCAACAAGUCACUAGGAACUAGGAAGAAUACCAAAGCUAUAUAUCUAUAGAAGAAGUCAGAAGUAGAACCGUAUGAAAAUAAAAAGUUAUUGAUGAAAUUGUAGACGUUUGAUGCGGACGUUUCAAGCAUAUUUUAUCCGCAUCUAUACUAGAACAUCAGAAAAUAAUGGUGCGUUUUAGUGUGCACAAUUUCACAUUUAAGUGCGCAUGCGGGUUUCAUGACGACCACGUGGUUAAUCCUGAAAAGUUACUAGGACCUCAUGGAAGAUAAAAAGGUUGCUUUAAAGGCAGAAUAUUUGCGUCAACCGAGUAAACUGCGUUUGGUAUCACGCUGUACUGUUAAGAUUACUUUCAGAGUAGCUGAACACAAGCCCGAUGCAAUGUAUUGAGAUCGUAAGGAAAACAUAUUAAAA